UCAUUCUAGAAGAAGCUACAGAGAACAAAAUGGGUGAGUAUUUUCCAGUAAGUAUUUUUUUUUUUUUGUCAAUUUUCCAUUUUCAAUUUUGGAUGCACAGUCUACAAUCAUUUCAAAAUUCACACCUAAAUCCCUAAAUAUCGAGUAACAGAAGAGCAAAACAAUAAGAAGCAAAGAUUAAACCUUGACAUAGAGAACAGCAUCAAUCGAAAUGCUGAAGUAGCAAUUGCUACUUUUCCAUGUAAUUUGCUGGCUUGAAAGACCUGAGAUAUGGAGCAUACGAAGAUUAGCCGAAUGACGACCUUGCAAUUGGUGGCUCCAACCUCAAAUUCAUGGCAUUGAAUCACCUUAUUGUAUAAUCCUAUUGCUCGACAUGUAUAUGGGAAGAAAAUUUUUUUGACGAAGAAACUUAUUCAUGCUACUGCUGCCACUAUUACUACUGUUGUUGCUACUAUCUCUAGUUCCUCUAACUCCUCCUAGUUUAUUAUGUAAUGCUAUUGAACCUCCUUUUACUAUGUAUUUUUAAUCAUGUAAAUGUAAUUGUUAUUAGCAUUACCCAUGCUACUGCUACUACAAUUAUUAUUACUACUAUUAAUUCUUCUACUCGUA